CCCGAAGAAAUUUGGAUUAAUACCCCAUAAUAUUAUUGGAUGGCAUCAUUUGAUAAUUAAAACUGCGGUGGUGAAAGAUGGGCAUGCGUCCUAUUAGCUAGUUGGAGUGGUAACGGCACCCCAAGGCUACGAUAGGUAGGGGUCCUGAGAGGGAGAUCCCCCACACUGGUACUGAGACAGGGACCAGACUCUUACGGGAGGCAGCAGUGAGGAAUAUUGGUCAAUGGUCGGAAGACUGAACCAGCCAUGCCGCGUGCAGGAAGAAUGCCUUAUGGGUUGUAAACUGCUUUUAUAUGGGAAGAAUAAGGCGUACGUGUACGUUGAUGACGGUACCAUAUGAAUAAGCAUCGGCUAACUCCGUGCCGNCAGCCGCGGUAAUACGGAGGAUGCGAGCGUUAUUCAGAAUCAUUG
rnacentral:rRNA from 1 species